CGAACUAAAAUACAAAAGCAUGGGAUGGGUGGGGUACCAUUUCUGUUUUUUUCGUUUUUUUUUGUAAUAUUCAUCGUGCCAGGGCUGUGACGAAAAAUAAGUGGCCUAAAUCCGAUGAGAAAGCACGAAUUUGGGAUACCCUAGGUUUGACCCCUCUAGUCGGUGCCCCCCAUUGUCUCCAAGCGUUCCGCCGCCUAUGAUGACCGGGUCACCUCUGCAUAACGGCUGGCCGCUGGAGGAGCGUGCUGCCGCCCCGACGGCGACCUCCUUGGUCCAGGGUGAGACGGUGAGUACCAGAUGGCCGUUCAGACGUUGGCUGCAGGGAAAGAAUGACGUGUAGGAUUGAAUGUUGAAGGGUUCAGUGAGACGGUAUAAUACAUGUUGGAGAGUGAUGUUCUGAUAACUGACAAUGGCUUAAGGUUUAGUGGAAAGCGUCGCCACGGCAUCAUCACCAUGACCAGCGCGGCAUCGGCGACGGGAAGUUUUUCGCCACAGCAUCAGCAAAUGGAUUGUGUCACACAUUCGAAAGUGGCUCAUAAUGUCAGAAGAGACCAUGAGCGCACCAAUAUCACGGACAAACGACGGGAGAAAAAUGGGUGCUUGG